GACGAACGCUGGCGGCGUGCUUAACACAUGCAAGUCAGGGGGCUCGGGGCAACUCGGGUCACCGGCGAACGGGUGCGUAACACGUGAGCGACCUGCCCAGGGAUGGGGGAUAGCCGGCCCAACGGCCGGGUAAUACCGCAUACGACGCCGGCAUAGAGGCCGGACGUGAAAGCCCGCAAGGGCGUCCGUGGAGGGGCUCGCGGCCUAUCAGCUAGUUGGUGCGGUAACGGCGCACCAAGGCGAUGACGGGUAGCUGGUCUGAGAGGAUGGCCAGCCACAUUGGGACUGAGAGACGGCCCAGACUCCUACGGGAGGCAGCAGUGGGGAAUCUUGCGCAAUGGCCGAAAGGCUGACGCAGCGACGCCGCGUGGAGGAUGACGGCCUUCGGGUUGUAAACUCCUGUUGCCCGGGACGAAUGCCUCGUUCGCGAGGACUGACGGUACCGGGUGAGGAAGCACCGGCUAACUCUGUGCCAGCAGCCGCGGUAAUACAGAGGGUGC
rnacentral:rRNA from 1 species